AUCUAGCCUCGUCCAAUAUUUGAAUGGUGGAUGACCUUUUUUUACUAGAGUGGUGACAAUGUGGGUAGUUUUUCUUUAUGUUAUUUCCCUUGCUUUGAGUUAUAUGGUUGGCUUCAAAAGCUUCUUCAACUAUACUAUCUUGCCUCAUAAGCCUCCCUUGCUCUUGUGCUUGUAAUGUAUUUAACAAUUUUGCCAUGGUAAUGUUGGAU
rnacentral:lncRNA from 1 species